rnacentral:snoRNA from 1 species
CACCCUGGCAAUGGACAAAGAGACACCUUGUUGGUGGUGUUGUUCUUAUAUCCAUCAGGGGCAGAGCAGAUGGCAGUCCUACCUUGAUGCCUGGCUUGGUGGCCAACGCUUUUUUAUGUCUAGGACUCAUGA